GUAAAAAAAUAGGUUGCCUUCCAUAAAAUUCAGAGAUGAGUGAUUAUGCAUGUUUAAUAUUAUAGUGAUAGCUUACAAAUUACUCACUUAUUGAAUAUAGUUGCACAAUUUAUUAUGAUCGGAACCUGAAUUCAGGAUCACUCUUACUCUAAUCCCAUCAUGAGUAGCGUACCAUGUCUACAGCUUAACACAAGCAUUCCUACAGUCUUACAUAUUGCAAAUGCCCAAUUUUGCUGCAUGAACUAAAAAGUUAAUAUGUAAUAUGCACUGUUAAUGAUUGCAUCAGAGUGUGACAUUUUAUAUUUAAUAUUGCAGGAGACAACUCAUUUGAAAAAGGCAAUUUAUCUCACAGACACAUCUAACUAAUUGCAACAAGAAGUAUAACCAAAAACAAUUUGAAAUUGAUGAAUUCCAAACAAUUUUCAUUGUGAUCAUGACAUGCACCCCAUCUUCAUCAGUUGUGGCCACAAACUUAUCAAUCACCCGUUGUACUGCACAGGACCAAAAGAAGCUGCAGACAGUUGUAAAUUUAGUUGGCUCCAUUUUGGGUACUAACCUAUAAAGUGCCCAGGAAAUCUUCAAGGAAUGGUGUCUAAGAAAGGCAAUGUCCAUUAUUAAGGACCUCCAGCACCCAGUGCAUGCCCUUUUCUUACUGUUACCAUCAGGUAGGAGGUACAGAAGCCUGAAGGCACACACUCAGCGAUUCAGGAACAGCUUCUUCCCCUCUGCCAUCCAAUUCCUAAAUGGACAUUGAACCCUUGGACACUACCUCACUUUUUUAAUAUAUAUUAUUUCUGCUCUUUUACACAAUUUUUAAUCUAUUCAAUAUACAUAUACUGUAAUUGAUUUAGUAUUUGUUUUCCUCUUCUUCCAUAUUAUGUAUUGCAUUGCAUUGCUGCUAAGUUAAAAAAUUUCACGUCACAUGCUGGUGAUAAUAAACCUGAAUCUGAUUCAUUUAGUUCUAGGUUACUACUUUCAAGUCGCAGUAACACUGUUAGUUUGAGAGUUUUUAGUUAGUGGCUCUGUUGGCCUCGUGUUUACUAUUUUCUUUUGUUCUGUGCACUUCUCAUUAAAUUUCAGUGAACUGUUCAUCCUGCUUCUGAAUCUCUCCCUCUGCACUUGGGCCAUCACUGAACUCCUGUCAAGUAAUCUGGGUGCAAUUGAAAUCUGAGUGUGAAGAAUAAUAAAUAAUUUUUAAGCUACAGUUGAAUCAGCAAAUGCACUUUUCUGACUAGGUUAGGCUAUUAAUCUGCUCAGUGCUUAAUAACUACUGUCCGGGUACAGAUGUCUUAAUGUUUCCUCUUCAAGUACAACUAGUCAUGUCUUUGUACUAGGAGUAGCAGUGAUCUUCUUCACAUUUCUAGGGAGAAAGUCAUCCCUCCUGUGUUUGACUAUCUAGCGAGAAUUCCGUACAUCCUAUCCCCAAAAAGUCCCUGCUGCUUGGAAGUUUCAUAUUAAUCUCAGGACCACUGCAUCUGUGGUAUGAAGCUAUCAAUAAGAUUUGGGAGGAUGAAUGAUUGGCUGUUUACAGAGUGGGGUAUAGAAAGCACAUGGUCAGUCAUACUAAUUUUCUUUCUUAAAAAUAAACUUUAAAUCAUACCUAUAAUCAUCUUCAUUGAAGUUGAAUCUGCAGUACGUCUUAUCCCAUUAAUUCCUGGUAUACACAAUAAAAACACAGAUUCAUUCUCAUUAUUCACACAUUGAUGUGUUUCUGGUUCCUAAGGUUGUCAUAGCCGGGUGUGGUAGUGGGGAUAAGCUCCCACUACCUACAAAGUGCUCCAAAUGGUGUGCAACUCUAACAGCCUCUGACAACCAAGUCCAACUCUUGGCCUUCAUAUGUAGCUUAGCUUCUACACCCAGCGGUACUGUUUCUACUGACAAAAAAAGGAGAAAGGCAGACCACUGGCGCCUCAAAACCAGUUGCUUCAGGCAGGUGAGGCUCGUCAGCCUUGGACGGCAGCCUGCCUAGAAGGAAAACUCUGAUUUUAAACCUCCGUUGCCUUAUGGCCAUACCAACCCAUGGGAAAGGCUUUGGGAGUAAAUCCCGAGGAAGAAAUCCAGAGCAGGGGUCCCUAAGGCAGUUUGGUGUUGUUUACAACUUCACUCUGACGCCCUCUGCGAUGAUACUGGUGCCAAGCUGUAUCAGCACUUGCCCUUCCCUUGGACUACAUCAGUGACGUGGAGGGAGGGAACCCGUUGCAUGGGCAAAAAUGGUUCUUCAAAUCUUCCCACCCAGGCUUGUGCCCUGGAGUGGACAAAGUCCACCAGAGACACAAACCCAUGAUCCCCUGGGAUCGACAGCUGCCUACUAUGAUGUGUUCCUGAUUCAAAUCAAAUAAUACUGGUUAAAUUGGAGGACAAAGGGCAUAUUUUACAAACCUAUGACAGAGCACAGUAUAUGAUACUUUAUCCAAUGCUUGGAGUGUGUGAAACACCAAACCAAACACUGUAUAAAUUGUCUAAAAUUAUCACACUGGACUAUUGAGGUCGGUGACCAGUGCAGUGCCUCAGGGGUCUGUUCUGGGACCCUUACACUUCAUGAUUUUCAUAAAUGACCUAGUUGAGGAAGUGGAGGGAUGAGUUAGUAAGUUUGCUGAUGACACAAAGGUUGGAGGUGUUGUGGAUAGUUUGGAGGGCUGUCAGAGGUUACAGCGGGACAUUGAUAGGAUGCAAAACUGGGCUGAGAAGUGGCAGAUGGAGUUCAACCCAGAUAAGUUUCUAGUGGUUCAUUUUGGCAGGUCAAAUAUGAUGGCAGAAUAUAGUAUUAAUGGUAAGACUCUUGGCACUGUGGAGGAUCAGAGGGAUCUUGGGGUCCGAGUGCAUGGGACACUCAAAGCAGCUGCCCAGAUUGACUCAAUGGUUAAGAAGGCAUACGGUGUAUUGGCCUUCAUCAAUUGUGGAAUUGAAUUUAGGAGCCGAGAGAUAAUGUUGCAGCUAUAUAGGACCCUGGUCAGACCCCACUUGGAGUACUGUGCUCAGUUCUGGUCACCUCAUUACAGGAAGGAUGUGAAAGCCAUAGAAAGAGUGUGGAGGAGAUUUACAAGGAUGUUGCCUGGAUUGGGGAGCAUACCUUAUGAGAAUAGGUUGAGUGAACUCAGCCUUUUCUCCUUGGAGCGACGGAGGAUGAGAGGUGACCUAAUUGAGGUGUAUAAGAUGAUGAGAGGCAUUGAUUGUGUGGAUAGUCAGAAGCUUUUUCCCAGGGCUGAAAUGGUUGCCACAAGAGGACACAGGUUUAAAGUGCUGGGGAGUAGGUACAGAGGAGAUGUCAGGGUUAAGUUUUUUUUACUCAGAGAGUGGCGAGUGAAUGGAAUGGGCUGCCGGCAACAGUGGUGGAGGCAGAUAUGAUAGGGUCUUUUAAGAGACUUUUGGAUAGGUACAUGGAGCUUACAAAAAUAGAGGUCUACGGGUAAGCCUUGUAAUUUCGAUGGUAGGGUCAUGUUCGGCACAACUUUGUGGGCCGAAGGGCCUGUAUUGUGCUGUAGGUUUUCUAUGUUUCUAAGUUUCUAAGUCAAUGCUUACACAGGAGAAAUGAAAAUUACAGCCCUGAAACAGAUCAUGCAACACAAAUAUUCUGUACUGAUGUUUAUACUCCAUCAGAUCUCCAUAUAAUUCACUUGAUUUCAGUUUUUCAAUGUCUUUUUGAUUAUCUUUUUAGUCUUCUUUUCAUCUGAUUUCCUUUUGUAUCUAUUUGCCUUAAUCACUUUGUGCGGUAGUGAGUUCAACAAUAUUUUCUAAGUAUUGUGUGUAAUUAUGUUUUCCAAUAAUUCCCCAAUUCAGUUUGGGUAUUUACAGCUUCUAAUUUUAACUGACAGACAGACAAAGAUGGGAAAGUAAACACAAUUAAUUUUUAAGAAAAAUUUAGGAACAAGCUCAGCGUGACUGGCCACGAGCUUUCCAUCCCCCACUCUGCAAGCAAUUUAGUCUUCAUCCUUGUAAAUCCUCCUGGUAGCCUUCUGCCACCAGCUCUCUUGAGACAAGAGAACUUUGAACGUACAAUGCCAGAUGAAAACCAAGUUACUGGAAAUGGAUGAAACACAUCUGGUUGCUAUUUGUGAGAAAACUGUGACCCUGAUUUGGACUGUGAUUUUAUAAACCUUUGAAAUCAAAACCAAUGGUCACUUUAUUAAGCCUUGCACUAUUUAAACCCAAAAUGAAAUAUUAGACUGAUUUUAAAACAUACUGCACAAUUUGAACUAGUCAUGUGAUGUCUUUUAAAAAUGUAUUCUAACAUUUUUGAACAAAAACAUGCAAAUAAUUUAACUAAUAUUAUUGAGUCUAGAUUUCUUCCCAAGUGACAGGCUGAAUGGAAAUAAAAGCUUGAUGCAAUUUGUACUGUAUAUUAAUCAGAAUUUAUGCAACAUUUAUAUUCUUUGUGUUGUCUGUACCUACAUGUCUGAGAUGCUAGUGCAAACAAGUUUUUCACUGUACUUGUACCUCUCCAUACUUGUGCAUAUGAGAAUUUAUUUGUUCCCAACCAGGAGGUGGCUGAAUUUCAGCAGCCAUCCAGUGACAGUGAUCUCCUGUAAGUUUAGUAUACAGUAUGUUUUGGGAGAAUAUGUCACUGCAGGGUAAAUAAUAGCGAGAAUUUAAGGGGACAAACCAGAUAAAAUCAUUAUGGAAACACAUUUUAAAAUUAUUACUUCAAGAAACUGUCAGAUAUGAGAACUCCAAAGUGUAUAGCCAACAAGAUAUAAUGGCUUCUAACUUUACAUCUUUAGUGUAAGAGUAUGUAGAAUUGUUUAU